rnacentral:rRNA from 1 species
AUUGAACGCUGGCGGCAGGCCUAACACAUGCAAGUCGAACGAGUGGCGGACGGGUGAGUAAUGUCUGGGACACUGCCUGAUGGAGGGGGAUAACUACUGGACACGGUAGCUAAUACCGCAUACCAUCAGAUGUUCCCCGAUGGGAUUAGCUUGUGGGGGGGGUAACGGCUCACCAAGGCGACGAUCCCUAGCUGGUCUGAGAGGAUGACACGCCACACUGGAACUGAGACACGGUCCAGACUCCUCCGGGAGGAAGCAGUGGGGAAUAUUGCACAAUGGGCGCAAGCCUGAUGCAGCCAUGCCGCGUGUAUGAAGAAGGCCUUCGGGUUGUAAAGUACUUUCAGCGGGGAGGCGUUACCCGCAGAAGAAGCACCGGCUAACUCCGUGCCAGCCGCCGCGGUAAUUC